CUCCAGMAAUVCCGCGUGCAGGAUGAAGCCUUCGGGUUGUAAACUKCUUUUGUMCGGAACGAAACGGYYCGCUUUAAUACAGUGGGCUAAUGACGGUACCGUAAGAAUAAGCACCGGCUAACUACGUGCCAGCAGCCGCGGUAAUACGUAGGGUGCGAGCGUUAAUCGGAAUUACUGGGCGWAAAGCGUGCGCAGGCGGUUAUAUAAGACAGAUGUGAAAUCCCUGGGCUCAACCUAGGACCUGCAUUUGWAGACURUUAUAGCUAGAGUACGGUAGAGGGGGAAUUGGAAUUCCGCGUGUAGCAGUGAAAUGCGUAGAUAUGCGGAGGAACACCGAUAGGCGAAGGCAAUCCCCUGGACCUGUACUGACGCUCAUGCACGSKAA
rnacentral:rRNA from 1 species